CAGUCGAGCGGAAGGCCCUUCGGGGUACUCGAGCGGCGAACGGGUGAGUAACACGUGAGCAACCUGCCCCAAGCUUUGGGAUAACCCUCGGAAACGGGGGCUAAUACCGAAUAUUACUUCUGGCCGCAUGGCUGGUGGUGGAAAGUUUUUCGGCUUGGGAUGGGCUCGCGGCCUAUCAGCUUGUUGGUGGGGUGAUGGCCUACCAAGGCGACGACGGGUAGCCGGCCUGAGAGGGCGACCGGCCACACUGGGACUGAGACACGGCCCAGACUCCUACGGGAGGCAGCAGUGGGGAAUAUUGCACAAUGGGCGGAAGCCUGAUGCAGCGACGCCGCGUGAGGGAUGACGGCCUUCGGGUUGUAAACCUCUUUCAGCAGGGACGAAGCGAGAGUGACGGUACCUGCAGAAGAAGCACCGGCCAACUACGUGCCAGCAGCCGCGGUAAGACGUAGGGUGCGAGCGUUGUCCGGAUUUAUUGGGCGUAAAGAGCUCGUAGGCGGCUUGUCGCGUCGACCGUGAAAACUUGGGGCUCAACCCCAAGCCUGCGGUCGAUACGGGCAGGCUAGAGUUCGGUAGGGGAGACUGGAAUUCCUGGUGUAGCGGUGAAAUGCGCAGAUAUCAGGAGGAACACCGGUGGCGAAGGCGGGUCUCUGGGCCGAUACUGACGCUGAGGAGCGAAAGCGUGGGGAGCGAACAGGAUUAGAUACCCUGGUAGUCCACGCUGUAAACGUUGGGCGCUAGGUGUGGGGGGCCUCUCCGGUUCCCUGUGCCGCAGCUAACG
rnacentral:rRNA from 1 species